AACGAACGCUGGCGGCGCGUCUUAAACAUGCAAGUCGAACGAUCUGUAGCAAUACAGGGAGUGGCGGACGGGUGAGGAACACGUAGGAAUCUACCUAGAAGAGCGGGACAACUGUGGGAAACCGGGGCUAAUACCGCAUAGUACAGAGAUGUUAAAGGGCUAGCAAUAGUCGCUUCUAGAUGAGCCUGCGGUCUAUCAGCUUGUUGGUGAGGUAAUGGCUCACCAAGGCAGCGACGGAUAGCCGGUCUGAGAGGAUGAUCGGCCACACUGGCACUGAGACACGGGCCAGACUCCUACGGGAGGCAGCAGUUAAGAAUCUUGCGCAAUGGGGGAAACCCUGACGCAGCGACGCCGCGUGAAGGAUGAAGGCUUUCGGGUUGUAAACUUCGGUAGACUGGGAAGAAGAACUACGUUCGUUGAGGGCGUAGAGUGACGGUACCAGUCUGAAGCCCCGGCUAAUUACGUGCCAGCAGCCGCGGU
rnacentral:rRNA from 1 species